UACGUAGGUGCAAGCGUUGUCCGGAAUUAUUGGGCGUAAAGAGCUUGUAGGCGGUUUGUCGCGUCUGCUGUGAAAAUCCGGGGCUCAACCCCGGACUUGCAGUGGGUACGGGCAGACUAGAGUGUGGUAGGGGAGACUGGAAGUUCCUGGUGUAGCGGUGAAAUGCGCAGAUAUCAGGAGGAACACCGGUGGCGAAGGCGGGAUCUCGUGGGCCGAUACUGACGCUGAGGAGCGAAAGCGUGGGGAGCAAACAGG
rnacentral:rRNA from 1 species